UGAGCAAUCUGCCCUUCUCUUUGGAAUAAGCGUUGGAAACGACGUCUAAUGCCGAAUACGACCUCCUUUCGCAUGAUCGGAGGUGGAAAGCUCCGGCGGAGAAGGAUGAGCUCGCGGCCUAUCAGCUAGUUGGUGUGGGUAAUGGCCCACCAAGGCGACGACGGGUAGCCGGCCUGAGGAGGGUGACCGGCCACACGUGGGACUGAGACACGGCCCAGACCUCCGUACGGGAG
rnacentral:rRNA from 1 species